rnacentral:rRNA from 1 species
UGCAGUCGAGCGGACAGAAGGGAGCUUGCUCCCGGAUGUUAGCGGCGGACGGGUGAGUAACACGUGGGUAACCUGCCUGUAAGACUGGGAUAACUCCGGGAAACCGGAGCUAAUACCGGAUAGUUCCUUGAACCGCAUGGUUCAAGGAUGAAAGACGGUUUCGGCUGUCACUUACAGAUGGACCCGCGGCGCAUUAGCUAGUUGGUGAGGUAACGGCUCACCAAGGCGACGAUGCGUAGCCGACCUGAGAGGGUGAUCGGCCACACUGGGACUGAGACACGGCCCAGACUCCUACGGGAGGCAGCAGUAGGGAAUCUUCCGCAAUGGACGAAAGUCUGACGGAGCAACGCCGCGUGAGUGAUGAAGGUUUUCGGAUCGUAAAGCUCUGUUGUUAGGGAAGAACAAGUGCAAGAGUAACUGCUUGCACCUUGACGGUACCUAACCAGAAAGCCACGGCUAACUACGUGCCAGCAGCCGCGGUAAUACGUAGGUGGCAAGCGUUGUCCGGAAUUAUUGGGCGUAAAGGGCUCGCAGGCGGUUUCUUAAGUCUGAUGUGAAAGCCCCCGGCUCAACCGGGGAGGGUCAUUGGAAACUGGGAAACUUGAGUGCAGAAGAGGAGAGUGGAAUUCCACGUGUAGCGGUGAAAUGCGUAGAGAUGUGGAGGAACACCAGUGGCGAAGGCGACUCUCUGGUCUGUAACUGACGCUGAGGAGCGAAAGCGUGGGGAGCGAACAGGAUUAGAUACCCUGGUAGUCCACGCCGUAAACGAUGAGUGCUAAGUGUUAGGGGGUUUCCGCCCCUUAGUGCUGCAGCUAACGCAUUAAGCACUCCGCCUGGGGAGUACGGUCGCAAGACUGAAACUCAAAGGAAUUGACGGGGGCCCGCACAAGCGGUGGAGCAUGUGGUUUAAUUC